rnacentral:rRNA from 1 species
UGCCACAGCCAUAUCACCCUGCAGCCCAAGACUGGUUGCCCACUGAAGCUAAGCAGGGUUGAGCUGGUCAGUACCUGGAUGGGAGACCUCCUGGGAAAACUAGGUUGCUGCUGGAA